rnacentral:rRNA from 1 species
GGGGGGGGGGGCAAGCGUUGUUCGGAAUUACUGGGCGUAAAGGGCGCGCAGGCGGGGGGCGGGAAAGUCUCUCGUGAAAUCCCACGGGCUCAACCGUGGAACUGCGGGAGAUACUACUCGUCUUGAGUUCGGGAGAGGAGUGUGGAAUUCCCAGUGUAGCGGUGAAAUGCGUAGAUAUUGGGAGGAACACCGGUGGCGAAGGCGGCACUCUGGACCGGUACUGACGCUGAGGCGCGAAAGCUAGGGGAGCAAACGGGAUUAGAUACCCCGGUAGUCCUAGCUGUAAACGCUGGGCACUUGGUGUAGCGGGUAUCGACCCCUGCUGUGCCGAAGCUAACGCAUUAAGUGCUCCGCCUGGGGAGUACGGUCGCAAAGGCUG